rnacentral:rRNA from 1 species
AACGCGAAGAACCUUACCUACCCUUGACAUGUACGGAAGCCCGCUGAGAGGUGGGUGUGCCCGAAAGGGAGCCGUAACACAGGUGCUGCAUGGCUGUCGUCAGCUCGUGUCGUGAGAUGUUGGGUUAAGUCCCGCAACGAGCGCAACCCUUGUCACUAGUUGCUACGAAAGGGCACUCUAGUGAGACUGCCGGUGACAAACCGGAGGAAGGUGGGGAUGACGUCAAGUCCUCAUGGCCCUUAUGGGUAGGGCUUCACACGUCAUACAAUGGCGCAUACAGAGGGCUGCCAACCCGCGAGGGGGAGCCAAUCCCAGAAAGUGCGUCGUAGUCCGGAUUGCAGUCUGCAACUCGACUGCAUGAAGUCGGAAUCGCUAGUAAUCGCGGAUCAGCAAUGUCGCGGUGAAUACGUUCCCGGGUCUUGUACACACCG